CUCUCUUCCCUCUCCCUAGGUCUCUCCUUGCCGAGUUCAUCAUGGCAGUCUCUCUUCCCUCUCCCUAGGUCUCCCUCUCCUUGCCACGUGCAUCAUGGCAGUCUCUCUUCCCUCUCCCUAGGUCUCUCCUUGCCGAGUUCGUCAUGGCAGUCUCUCUUCCCUCUCCCUAGGUCUCUCCUUGCCGAGUUCAUCAUGGCAGUCUCUCUUCUCUCUCCCUAGGUCUCUCCUUGCCACGUUCAUCAUGGCAGUCUCUCUUCCCUCUCCCUAGGUCUCUCUCUCCUUGCCACGUGCAUCAUGGCAGUCUCUCUUCCCUCUCCCUAGGUCUCUCCUUGCCGAGUUCAUCAUGGCAGUCUCUCUUCCCUCUCCCUCGGUGUCUCUCUCUCUCCUUGCUGAGUUCGUCAUGGCAUUCUUUUCCCUCUCCCUAGGUCUCUCCUUGCCACGUGCAUAAUGGCAGUCUCUCUUCCCUCUCCCUCGGUGUCUCUCUCUCCUUGCCGAGUUCGUCAUGGCAUUGUUUUCCCUCUCCCUAGGUGUCUCUCUCCUUGCCUCUUUCUUUUUUUACCUCGUAUCGCUUACCCCUUAAUACUUUAGUGUUUAUUGGCGAGGCGCAAUGUCUCCUGCCUGUAAUCCCAGCACUUUGGGAGGCCAAGGCAGGUGGAUCACUUGAGGUCGGGAGUUGGAGACCAGCCUGGCCAAUGUGGUGAAAUCCCAUCUCUACUAAAAAUACAAAAAUUAGCCGGCGGUGUUGACAUGCACCUAUAAUCCCAGCUACUCAGGAGGCUGAGGCAAGAGAAUCACUUGAACCCUGGAGGCAGAUUUUGCAGUGAGCUGAGAUAAUGCAGCUGCACUCCAGCUUGGGCAACAGAGUCUCAAAAAAAACAAAAAUACAAAACGGAAACCAGAAAACAAAAACAAACAAACAAAAAUCCUUUAGGGUUUAUUUCCUAAGAAUAAGGAUAUUCUCAUGUAACCACAUACGCUAGCAAUUCAGUAAAUGUCACCUGGAGCCAGCACUCCACGUCAUCUGCAGGUGCAUUCUCACUUGGACAGUUUCUUUUCUUUCCUUUUUUUUCUUGGUCCAGGACGGCGUGCCAGAUCACAUGCUCUGUUUGGUAAUCACGUGGCUUUAUUCUUUAAUCUGCUGCAGUUCUUCAGCCUGUCUCUCUCUCUUUUUUUUUCUUUGAGACAGAGUUUCGCUCUUGUCACCCAGGCUGGAGUGCAAUGGCGCGAUCUCAGCUCACCGCAACCUCCGACUCCUGGGUUCAGGCAAUUCUCCUGCCUCAGCCUCCCGAGUAGCUGGGAUUACAGGCACGGGCCACCAUGCCCAGCUAAUUUUUUGUAUUUUUAGUAGAGAUGGGGUUUCACCAUGUUGACCAGGAUGGUCUCGAUCUCUUGACCUUCUGAUCCACCCACCUCGGCCUCCCAAGGUGCUGGGAUUACAGGCGUGAGCCACCGCGCCCGGCCUGUGUCUCUUUAAUGGCAGUCAUGUUUUGGUAAUACCAGCCAGUGUAUUAAAGAAUGCCCCUCAGUUUGGUUUGGUCUGAGAUUUGGUCGGGAUUGAAUUCACAUUACGUGUUUCUGGCUGCAGGGCUCUGUAAACACAUCCUUCAGAUAUCAGACGCAGAGGCGGCUGUCAGCUUGUCCUUAUUGGCAAUGUUAAUUUUGGUCCUUGAUAAGGUGGUUCCUCCUCUGAAUAGUCACUGAUUGUCCACGUCCUUGGGUGUAUUGUGGGUGACCUGCUGAGGCUGAGAAUGCCCUGUCUAUUCACAAAGCUGCCACCUGCCCCAGGCUGGCCUCACUGGCACCAAGCCACAUUUGCACUCAGUUGGGUCAACCUUUUGGGCAAUGGUUCCCUACGCUAAUUUUCCAACUCCAUCACUCCCUACGGCAUUCUGUGAAGAGGGCCACUUUCCUCCCAUUGUUUACUCACCUUGGCUUCACGGAUUCUUCGUUUGGUAACGUUAUUCUGUUUCUUUUCUUUUUUUUUUUUUUUGAGAUGGAGUUUCGCUCUUGUUACUCAGGCUGGAGUGCAAUGGCGCGAUCUCGGCUCACAGCAACCUCCGCCUCCUGGGUUCGGGCAAUUCUCCUGCCUCAGCCUCCUGAGUAGCUGGGAUUACAAGCACGCGCCACCAUGCCCAGCUAAUUUUUUGUAUUUUUAGUAGAGAUGGGGUUUCACCAUGUUGACCAGGAUGGUCUCGAUCUCUUGACCUCGUGAUCCACCUGCCUCGGCCUCCCAAAGUGCUGGGAUUACAGGCUUGAGCCACCGCGCCUGGCCACAUUAUUCUGUAUCUAGUGGGUUACGGUUGAUUGUUCUGACAGUUGUUGCUGCCCACAUUGUUCCAGGUUUGCCGUGGGGGUCUGUCCAGGUGGUUCCAGCAUCCUUCUCUGAACCAGUCCUUGUUUUGAGUCCUUAUUUUCUAUGCAGCGGAUGCACCUUCUCUGCCAGGCCACUGGAUCCAGCCCUUGCUCCAAGGAUUCUGCUUCUUCUUAGUGAGGAAUGGGAUUUAGAAGUCAAGAUGUGUGUGAGAUGUGCUCGUUGUUCACGGGCAUCAGAACCUCCAGAGCCUUCUACCUCCACUGCAACCGGCGCCAUGGCACUUCCCUGCCUGCCCCACUCCUGCACCUCCAAAUUGCACGGUGAUGGCGGCAGCUCACAGCAGCCAAGGCAGCAUCACACGUGACUCACACACAGCACAGCACAGAGCAGGUUUGGAACAGCUCCACCCGCAGGACCACAGAAAACAAACCCACUGAGAGUUCCAGACCUGUCUGCAGCGUUUUCUUUCUUCUGAGGGUAUGUGGUCAAGGUGCUGUCUUCAAAAUUUACUUAAAUUUGUUCUUUCCCAAGUCUCCUUCUGACGCUGGCUAAUAAUCUGAAAGACAGUUGCGUUCCGUUUUUGCAAUUCUGUUGUCUCAUUUUCCCCACUUCUCGAUAAUUUUAUUAUUUGAAUAUGUAAAGCGUCAUGAUUUCAAAAGUUAAAACUAUUGCAAAAGCUGCGCUCAGAGAACUGUCAUCUCCUCUCUGUUUCUUCUGUCCUGUUUUCUCCAAAAGGAACCAUUUCACUUAUUUUAACAGCUUUCCCGAACUAUAAUUCACACAUUAUAAAAUUCACCCGUUUAAAGUGUAUCUAGUGGUUUUUAGCACUCAUAGAAUUGGGAAACCGCCACAAUCAAUAUUAGAACAUUUUCAUCAACUAAAAAAAAACCUGUACCCAUUAGUACCUAUUCCCCAUUCCCUCACACUCCUGCCGCCUCCGUCCUCCUCCCUGGCCUUAGGCAACGGCUAAUCUUUUUGUCUCUGUAGAGUUGCCAGUUCUGGACGUUUCCUGUGAGGGAAUCAUUGAAUACGUGGCCUCGUGCACCUGGCUUCUUUCACACAGCGUCACGUUGCCGAGGCUCGUCGGUGUGGCGCGCACAGCAGCUCCUCCCUUUUUAUCGCCACCUAACUCCGUCGUAUGGACGGGCCACAUUUUAUGCAGCUCUCCAUCCGCUGACGGCCUUUUGAGUUGUUUCCACUUUUUGGCUAUUACGAACAAUUCUGUCAUGAGCGUCAUGUGCACGUUUUUGUGGGGACAUAUAGUGUCCCCUGUCUUAUGUAUUCCACAGGGAAUGGAACUGCUGGGUCCCACGUUCCCUCGAUGUUUAGAGGCUGAGGAUCUGCCAGGCCGUUUCCCGAAGCACGUGCACGCUUCGCUGCCUUAUGUUCCCUUUAGUGCGUGAGGGUUCCGGGCUCUGCUCAUCCUUGGCAGCCCCUGUUGCUGUCCGUCUGCGUCCUCAUUGCCACGCCAGUGGGUGUGGGAUACUGAGUGUGGCUUGAUUCCCGUUUUCCUGAUGGCUGAUGAGGCUGCAUGUCCUCACUUGUGCCUGGCCCCUCCGUAUGUCUCCUCAGAUCAAUGCCUCUUCAGAUCCUUUGUCUGUUAGGCCCAGUGGGGUAAUUCUUUACUGGGGAGUAGGAAGAGUUCUGGAUCUACUCUGCACGCACACCAUCUAGGAGACACCGGCCUGCACAGACUUAUUCCCACUCUUGGGCUUGUCUUUUCACUCUCUUGAUGUUUCUGGAAGUUUCCAUGUUCCUUUUGUUCUUUGUGCUUUUCAUAUCAUGUCACAAAAGGCUUUCCGUAAUCUGACACUGCAAAGAUUGACACACAUAUUUUUUCUGAGACUUUUAUAGUCUCACCUUUCACAGUUCGGUCUUCGGUCCAUUUCUAGUUUAUUUUUCACCUUAGGUCACUUAGCCUGUUCUAGGCUGUCUUAUACAUGGAAUCGUACAGGAUUCUUUUCUUUAUUUUUGAGACAGAUUCUUGCACAGGUGCCCAGGCUAGAGUGCAGUGGUGUGAUCUUGGCUCUUUACAACCACCAUCUCCUGGGUUCAAGCAAUUUUCCCAUCUCAGCCUCCCGAGUAGCUGGGAUUAUAGGCACCCGCCAUCACGCCCAGCUAACUUUUGUAUUUUAGUAGAGAUGGGGUUUCACCAUGUUGGCCAGGCUGGUCUUGGUCUCCUGACCUCAGGUGAUCCGCCCAGCUCGGCCUCCCAAAGUCCUGGGAUGAUAGGCGUGAGCCACCACAUCCGGCCCGUGCAGUAUUUUUUUUUUUUUUUUUACAAAAAUUGUUGUUACGGUUUCAGCAUUUAUAGGUUUGAAAAAUACUUGUCUUUCAUCUAUAUUUCCUAAAUAACGUACCGUUUUUAAAAAUAUUAGCAAAUCUCUCUAUCUGCAGGGCCUUUUGUUCUAUAUGUUGUUUAUUUGUAUCUUUUUGUUGUUUGUUUUUCUUUGAGAUGGAUCUUGGUCUGUCGCCUGGCCGGAGUGCAGUGGUGUGAUCUCAGCUCACUGCAACCUCGGACUCCCUGAUUCAAGAGUUUCUCCUGCCUCAGCCUCCCGAGUAGCUGGGAUUACAGGUGCCCGACACCAUGCCCAGCUAAUUUUUUGUUUGUUUGUUUGUUUUUGCAUUUUACGUUUUGGGGUACAUGUGCAGAACAUGCAAGAUAGUUGCUUAGGUACACACAUUGCAGUGUAAUUUGCUGUCUUCCUCCCCUUCACCCACAUCUGGCAUUUCUCCCCAGGCUAUCCCUCCCCAGCUCCCCCGCCCUGCUGUCCCUCCCCUAUUCCACCCAAUAGACCCCAGUGUGUAGUGCUCCCCUCCCUGUGUCCAUGAGUUCUCAUUGUUCAUCACACACCUAUGAGUGAGAAUAUGUGGUAUUUCAUUUUCUGUUCUUGUGUCAGUUUGCUGAGAAUGAUGUUCUCCAGAUUCGUCCAUGUCCCUACAAAGGACACGCGCUCAUCGUUUUUGAUGGCUGCAUAAUAUUCCAUGAUGUAUAUGUGCCACAUUUUUCCAGUCCAGUUUUUUGUAUUUUUAUUAGAGACGGGGUUUCACCAUGUUGGCCAGGAUGGUCUCGACCUCUUCACCUUGUGAUCCACCCGCCUCGGCCUCACACAGUGCUGGGAUUACAGGCGUGAGCCACCGCACCCGGCCCUUACUUGUGUUUUGAUUUGAUUGGUCUUGUUCCAGCUCUGUUUGUUCUAUUAAUCUUUCUAAGCAGUCGGGGUUUUUUGGUUACUCUUUUUUCUGAUAACUGAUUGUUUCUUUCCUUAUAUUCAUUAUUUCCUUUCUUCUCGUUUUCAGUUUAUUCUGUUUUUUCUUUUUUCAGAAUUUUUAUAUUGAAUACAUUGUUUCAUUUUGAAGUUUUCUUGCUUCCUGUAAAUACAUUUGAAAUUAUAAAGUUUCUUUUAACAUUGUCCCACAAAGUUUGACAUUUUUGUUUUUAUUUUCGUUUGGUUCUGAAUCUUUUGUAACCCUCUUCUGAUCUACUUUUAAACCCAGGGGCUAUUUAGUAAUGUUAUUUUCUUUCCAAAAAUGUGGUAUUUUAAAAAUUCUAUUCUUUUGUUAUUUAUUUCAAAAUUUAUUAUAGUAUUAUAUUAGAGAGGACAUGCUCUGUUGCUUCAGAGUUUAUUGUGUUUCUUUCUUGCCAAAUACAUUUUUCAUGAUAUCCGAUCAAAUUGUAUAAAUAUUCUAUUCAUUUUUAAAAGUAUAGUCUCCAUUGGACACAGAGUUCUAUGUAAAUAUCAUAUAAUUUAGAAUUUGUAUAUUUCAAACCUUCGAUGUUUCUGCUAUUUUUUAUGUUUUAAGAAAUAUCUAAUAUAAUUGCCAACUUCUAUUUUUCUCUGUCUAGAUGUAUCAGUUUUUGCUUUUCUAAAGAAACGGUACUCAGUACAGUAAGCUCAUGACGGUUGCACCCUGUGUACUGUCUCCUCUUGCAAGCAGUUCUCAUCAUGCUGGUCUUCGGUGGCUUCUUUGCCUUGGACUUUGCAGAUAGUAGGGCUGCUGUCUACUUUUAUGUGGAUUCAAAUUUGCCAAGCACUUCUUUUUCUAUUUAUUUUAAACAUUUUAGUUUCCUUUGCUUUUAAGUGUGCUUCUCUUAGCAAACCGUUUAUUCCUUCUUUAUAAAUCCAAGCUCUGUGUUGGUGUUUUUAGCUCAGUAAGUGUCUGUGGUUGCAUCGGGAGUUUACUUCUGCCUCCUUCGUUCACAGUUGGCUUUUACAUUCCUUCCUGUUCCCCCGUUUCUUCUCUAGUUUUUAAUGGUGGUUACCAUUAAAACCAUGAGAACCACAUCAAUGUGUGUCUAAUCCUAUUGAUUUCCUGAGCAGAUUUAUAUUAAGUCUUCAGACUCCCGUGUUGGUUCUGCUUAGAUAUUUACGUUUGCACUGUUGUAAAUGUACAUCGUCUUCUCUCCUCAUUUUGGUCCUGGCAUUUUUAGCCAACAGUAGACUUUACUAAAAUCUAUUUGAUCUAAAGCUUUUUAUACCCAUAGUUCCUAUAUCUCACACAACAGCCUUCUGGAUUUAUUUAUCUUCUAAUUUCCUUGAAGAACAUUUUCAAAGUGGGUCUUUUCAAAGUGGAUCUUCUGAGGCCUUUUAUAUUGGAAGAUAAUUUGAUCUGUGCUCAUACGCCAGUGACAGUUGAGCUGGCUGUAAAAUUCUCUGUCAAAUUCUUUUCCUUCAGGUCUUUAAAACUAUUACUCCAGGGUCUUCUGGCACCCAGUGUGGCAGCUGGAAACUCUGAAACCAAACUUAUUCUUACUCUUUUGUAGGUGAUCUGCUCUUCAUAGAAGUUUUGGAAUUUUCUCUGAUGCUCUUGAAUUUCACUGUCAGUUACAUGUUCCAAGCUCCUCAGGAGGCUGAGGCAGGAGAAUCACUUGAACCCAGGAGGCAAAGGUUGCAGUGAGCCAAGAUUGCACCACUACACUCCAGCCUGGGUGGCCGAGCGAGACUCCAUCUCCAAAAAGUAAAUAAAAUAAAAUAAGUAAAACUUUGAACAGUAUCCUCAGCUCAACUUGUUUGUUUUUCAGAAAUUGCAGCCCUCAGGUAUUAGCUACUUGGAGCGAGUGUGUCCCACUAAGGUAUAAGACACUGGCCUGAGAAGGCCCAGGUUGGGUCUCCCCCAGAACUGGAAUUGGGAAGGGGAAGAAUCUGGGCUAACCACUCCAUUUGCUCCAGCCCUACCUCCAGCAUCUAGGGGCAGGGAGUUGCAGUCAGACUCUUAAAAACACACAGCUGAAAGUGCAGUGCGGUGAGGCGUCCUCUGAGGACCAGACAGGUGGAGACCUGCCUGCUGUGCUGGGGACGGGUAAGGAAGGCAGGUGGAGCCAUCUCCCCGCAGCCUGGAGCCUCCCCUUUGGUGCUCCCACUCACAAGAUUGCUGCUUUUGCCGCUGACUGGUAGGAACUCCAGGCCGCUUCUCCAGCUGUGCCUCAGUUCUCCUUGUCUUUUUCCUUCCUAACUUCCUCAGUCCCAGGCUGGAGGCUCCAGUCUGCAAAUCAGAGGCCUCCACACCCACGUCACGCUCCACACCUUCCCAUUGGUGUGGUUCUGUUUGCAGUCUGGACACGUGAAAUCUCUCUGUCCUCCUGGAGUAGUUGUUGGCACAGUGUGGCUGUUGCGGAACCUGCCCAGGUGUCUCCCACGCAUUACAGAUCCCAAGACACUCCUGGGUCCCAGCCUCCCAGAGCUGGAGGAGCGGGACCCCUUCUGCCCUCCCAGGCUUCCUCCCGGGGUCAGGAAGUCGCAUCUGCCUGAGCUCUCACUGCUGUCUCUCCUCUCUCCUCUUUCUCUCUUCCUGUCCGCUAGCUUUUAUGGAGGAAUUCAGAGGGAACAUCCCGGUCUGCUUCCCAUCACAUCCACCCAGCCCCCAGCCUUGAGGCUCUGCACUGUCUCCCGUCCGGUGCCUGUCCAAAGCCGCUUCCACCCAGGACCAUCGCCCCUUCACAUUCAGGGGUACUGGUCCGUCUCUGCCAUGCUGAGAGCUGCUGCAUGAAAAGACCCCUGAAUCUCAUCCCCUCCAGCACUACCUCUUUUUCUCUUUUUAGAGAAACCACCUAGAAGGACUUCCUACACACACUGUUACCCCCUCCUCUUUCCUGUUCUCCUCAGGCCCACUGCUCACUACAGUGCCUUCUGCCCCCACAGUCACCCCUACCAGGGUGCCCCCAGCAGCAUUCGCUCCACCAACCCCUCCUCCCGAAGUGCUUUUUUGGGGGGGAUCCUGGAGCCCGAUCCUGGUCCCCCUCUCACCAUCCUAACUUCCUCCUGUCUUUCUUCUCCAGCUAUAGGCUCUUCCCAGGCGAAGUCACCUGUAAAUCACAUCCAUAUCCCAGAGGCUCCCAAAAUCUCACCUCCAGCCCAGACCCGAAUACUGGGUCAGCUGACAUCUUAUCCAAGGCAUCACACGCUUUCUCCAGCCUCGGACCACCCACUCCAGGGCUUUGCUUCCCACCCCCGCCCCCAGCCCAACAAGGUGCUCUUCCUCCUGUUACCUCCAUCUCGGUACAGGGGGCUGCUCUGCUUCCAGUUGUUGAAGUCAGAACUCUUGGGAUUUUUGUUGAUUCCUCUUUCUCUUCAAACCCGCAUCCCAUCCAGGGCCAAUCCCGUUGACCUCGGCUGUUCGUAAUAAAGCCCUGUGCCCUCUCCCUUCUCUGGAAGUUUGUGGAGCGUUCAUGUGCCCAUCACUAAUUCGACCCCAGAGUCUCCACUAGAGACAGGAGAGUCCUCUGCACAGGCUGACUUAACAGUGGGAGUCACAGCGGUUCCAUGGGUGGGAGACCGGCAUCUCCGAGCAUUUGAAUGGGCGCUUUUCUCUGCUGAAGUUCUUCUGCCCAUUCAGUGUCUCCUCUGACCACACAGUUUGGUUUUGCCUCUCUCUCCAUGUCGAAGGCUUCCUUGUGUCUGGUGUCUUUGAGUAUUUUUCAGCAUGAGGCACUGAGAAGGCGUGUGGAACCCCAGGGGUCUGUGUGUGGGGUGGCGUAAGGAGGUUUGCCUGUGGGACGCGGGAUGACUAGGGAGCCUCGUGGGUCUCAUAUUCAGGAACCCAUGAAUCACGCAGGUUUUUCUCAUGGGUGUGUGUUUCCCUGAAAGGAAUUCUGGGGUCCCUGGGGUGUGGGGCGCAAAGAUCUGUAAUUCUGUCCCCUGAAGUGUGGGAUGGAAGGAUCUGUAAUUCGGCUGCCACACUCUUGGAUCCAAGUAGGCAGAGGUCACUGUCGCUUCCCGUCCUGCCUCCUGCUUCCCGUUCCUACCUUCAGAUCUCCAUGACAGUGUCUUCUGGGCAAUUCCUCCUGGGCCCUCCCAGCUCACAGGGAUCCCACCUGCCCUCCGGGGUGUGGAGCAGGACCUGGGGACCCGGUGCCUCCUGCUUUUAGCCUAGCCUGAUGCUCCCUUUUGAGGUGCUGAGGCUUCCCUGGCUCUCCCUGUGGCUCUAGUAGGCUCCUGUGAUUGGUCUCUCGUGUGUCCGUCCAUCCGACAUCUGUGCAUCUGCCUCCAGUGCGCAGACCUGGCUGUGGCCUCUGCCUUUCACUGUCUUGGCCCAGGAACAUUUUUUCUUCUCUUUUUCUUCUCCUUCUCCUCCUUUCUUCCUCUUCUUCUUUAUAAAUAGAGACGGGGUAUCACUAUGUUGCCCAGGCUGGCCUUGAGUCCCUGGCCUUGAGCAGCCCUUUUGUCUCGGCCUCCCGAAGUGCUGGGAUGACAGGCGUGAGCACCACACCCAGCCUUGCCUUCUAUCUUCUCUCUCCACUUUAGCCAGAUUUCAGCAGGAAAUGGACGGACGUCGGUGCUCUGUCUGCCCAUUGGACCAGGAGCCCGUGCGUCUGAUCUAAACAACCCUCAUCUUGCCUUUGUUAGGUUUUCUGCUUGGUUUCCUUCAUAAAAUUGAUGUCUCAACUCUAAUAUUUUAUGUUCUUCUCACAGACAACUGUGAUCCACUAAUCAAUUACCUAAUUGUCCUAAACCCAAUCUUUUAGUAAAAUCUGAUUUCUUGGGGACUGCAGUAACAAGCUCGUGAGAAAGUUCCUGCUUGGAUGAGGCCAAGAGCGUGGGAGUGAGUUACAGGCUCCCAGAAGUGGGAAGUAUUUUGGGUUUAGGCCGUAAAGAAUUCCCUAUAAAAAUAGCUGAACAGAUUGGGCUCCUCUCGCUGUGGGACUAUCUUGGAACAUGAGGUGAGGUUUUGGGUUGGCUUGCAGAUAAAAUCAAACCAAUUUCCCAAUGAGGGAAUGGGCUGUGGUUAGGAUGGGCUGCGUGGGGGUUCCGGGGCGCCGCAGGGUCACACAGCUAUCUGCUGUACAGCCAUUGACUAAAUGUACGGUUCGUGAAUUCUUCUGCGUGUAUGUUUUAUUUCACAAUAAAAUGUCAUCUUUUUAAACAACUAAGCAAAGUUGAGAACCAUGCAGGGUAAUUUCCUUGGAAAUACGCUUUGGCAGUUAUUUAAUUGGGCAAGUGGAAAAGUACUUUGUAUGAAGUCGGUUUUACAUAUCAUAAAAAUGCCACGUGCUGAGCCGUGCAGGAAGGGAAAGUGUCUAGAUAAGGACAGUCAUUUGCUCUUCCCGAUAGGCCAUCCGCUACUCUCUUAUCUGGAAGCACUCUGGCAUGCCCGAUGACUGGUAUUUUGAUAGAUUAGCGAGUAUUUACAUGUCUCAAACAGGCGAGUUUAAAACCACAAAGUCAAGGGUAUUUUAAAACCUUGACUUCAGGUCUUAACAAUUUAUCUUCUCAUUUCUUCAUUCUGGUCUGGCUGCUUUGCAUGUGGCUGUUUCUCUCCCGUCUCUUGUUGCCUGGCUUACAGGAGAGGUGGGUGACGGGGACACAGGAGUCGAGAACGCUCAGGCCUCUGACAGCCGCUCUGUGCAGACCAGUCCUGCAGCCACGCGCAGGAAAUGCCACCAGAGCAGGACACGUCUGCUACCCUCCCGGAAGUGACGAAACCGCCUUUCAGAAAUUACAACAGUAAGAAAAUGAUGACGUUGAAGGAGACCUGACCUAAGCAACUCUUGCCUCUGACCUCCAAGCUGCUCUUUAUCAUUGCUGGGCUUGGGCCAAAAUAACCUUGGGUGGAGGGGUCCCAAGAAACCCCUGAAAUGACAGAGCUCAAGUUUGAUGGGCCAGAAAGACUGAGUGAGGAGGGGCAAUGCAGUGGCUGGUGAUGGCCGGGAGCCACCUCUGCAGCCACACCCAGUGGAUCCUCCCCUCCCUUGGCCACAGCCACAUCUGAUAACUCCUACCCCUGCAUCAGCCACUGGAGUGCUUCCGGUGGAACCACAGGCUUUUGUGAAAGGAAAAUACAUCUUGGGACCCCAAGUCACUAAGCCAAAGGGAAGAGUCAGGCUGGGAACUGCCGAUUCAGGCGGGGCACAGUGGCUCACACCUGUAAUACCAGCACUCUAGGAGGCUGAGGCAGGAAGAUGGUUUGAGUCUGGGAGUUUGAGACCAUCUCAGGCAAUGUAGAAGAUCCUCUCCAAAAAAUAAGAAAAAAAUGCAGAUUCUCUAAACCAGCCUAACGCACAAGUGACUAUUCCUCUACCCCCUUUCACAUGUAAAUUGUGUAUUUGAUGAAAGAAAGAAAGGCUAGCUGGAGACUCAGAAGAAGGCACCUGUUUGUCUCUUAUCUGCCUGUGACCUGGAAGCGCCACUUGGAGUUGUCCCGCCUUUCCAGACCAAACCAAUGUGCAUCUUACACGUACUGAUUGAUGUCUCAUGUCUCCCUAAAAUGUAUCAAACUGAGCUGUGCCCCGACCACCUUGGGCACAUGUCAUCAGGACCUCCCAAGGCUGUGUCAGGGGCACAUCAUUAACCCUGGCAAAUGAUGUGGUUAGGCUUCGUGUCCCCACCCAAAUGUCAUCUUGAAUUGCAGUCCCCAGGUGUCGAGGGACAGACCUGGCGAGAGAUGAGCCAAUCAUGGCAUGUGGUUUUCCCCAUGCUGUUCUCAUGAUAGUGAGUAAGUCUCGUGAGCACUAAGAUCUGAUGGUUCUAUGAAGGCAGUUGCCCCGGGCUCUCCUGCCACCUUAUGAAGAAGGUCCUUGCUUCCCUGCCAUAUGGAACUGUGAGUCGAUUAAACCAUUUUCCUUUAUAAAUUA